CAGUCCUCCCCUUGCCCCACGAGUGGCAGGACAGCUCCCAACACUUCUCUAGGCUUAAAGUACAUGUGGAAGGGCGAGCCUCCCAGGAUUCUCAAACAGAAGCAGCCUGCCAGGCUGAGCCAUCCAGAAGCCCAUAAGCUGGAACACUAAUGUGGCAAUGACCAAGUUUUAGCCGUAGAGAUGAGGCCAACACCCUGUGGAACACCGGAGCAAAGUAACAAGAUAGAGCAGAACUGAGUCCCCGAAUGACCUUGUGGAGCUGAGCUAUCCCAGCAGCCUCAACUGCCACCUACAUCCGCACCGUCACAGGAGAGAGAAAUACAAUUAUAUUUUAAGAUUGAUCUUAUAUAAAUCACUGUGUUUUUG
rnacentral:lncRNA from 1 species